rnacentral:rRNA from 1 species
GACGAACGCUGGCGGCGUGCCUAAUACAUGCAAGUUGAGCGAUGAAGAUUGGUGCUUGCGCCAAUUUGAAGAGCAGCGCACGGGUGAGUAACGCGUGGGGAAUCUGCCUUUGAGCGGGGGACAACAUUUGGAAACGAAUGCUAAUACCGCAUAACAACUUUAAACAUAAGUUUUAAGUUUGAAAGAUGCAAUUGCAUCACUCAAAGAUGAUCCCGCGUUGUAUUAGCUAGUUGGUGAGGUAAAGGCUCACCAAGGCGAUGAUACAUAGCCGACCUGAGAGGGUGGUCGGCCACAUCGGGACUGGGACACGGCCCAAACGCCUACGGGAGGCAGCAGUAGGGAAUCUUCGGCAAUGGACGAAAGUCUGACCGAGCAACGCCGCGUGAGUGAAGAAGGUUUUCGGAUCGUAAAACUCUGUUGGUAGGGAAGAACGUUGGUGAGAGUGGAAAGCUCAUCAAGUGACGGUAACUACCCAGAAAGGGACGGCUAACUACGUG